AUUGAACGCUGGCGGCAUGCCUUACACAUGCAAGUCGAACGGUAACAGGUUAAGCUGACGAGUGGCGAACGGGUGAGUAAUGUAUCGGAACGUGCCCAGUCGUGGGGGAUAACUACUCGAAAGAGUGGCUAAUACCACAUACGACCUGAGGGUGAAAGCGGGGGACCGUAAGGCCUCGCGCGAUUGGAGCGGCCGAUAUCAGAUUAGCUAGUUGGUGGGGUAAAAGCCCACCAAGGCGACGAUCUGUAGCUGGUCUGAGAGGACGACCAGCCACACUGGGACUGAGACACGGCCCAGACUCCUACGGGAGGCAGCAGUGGGGAAUUUUGGACAAUGGACGCAAGUCUGAUCCAGCCAUGCCGCGUGCGGGAAGAAGGCCUUCGGGUUGUAAACCGCUUUUGUCAGGGAAGAAACGAGUUUCUCCAAUACAGAGACUUAAUGACGGUACCUGAAGAAUAAGCACCGGCUAACUACGUGCCAGCAGCCGCAGUAACAC
rnacentral:rRNA from 1 species